rnacentral:rRNA from 1 species
CCUACGGGCGGCAGCAGUGAGGAAUAUUGGUCAAUGGUCGGAAGCCUGAACCAGCCAAGUAGCGUGCGAGAUGAAGGUCCUGCGGAUCGUAAACCGCUUUUGCACGGGGAUAACACCCUCCACUUGUCGACGUCUGCAGGUACCGUACGAAUAAGCGCCGGCUAAUUCCGUGCCAGCAGCCGCGGUAAUACGGAAGGUCCGAGCGUUAUCCGGAUUCAUUGGGGUUAAAGGGUGCGUAGGCGGGCGUUCAAGUCAGCGGUAAAAGCGCGCGGCUCAACCGCGCCCCGCAGUUGAAACUGGAAGUCUUGAGUUGACAAGAGGCAGGCGGAAUGCGUGGUGUAGCGGUGAAAUGCAUAGAUAUCACGAGGAACCCCGAUUGCGAAGGCAGCAUGCCGGGGCGAGACUGACGCUGAGGCUCGAAGGUGCGGGUAUCGAACAGGAUUAGAUACCCGAGUAGUC